rnacentral:rRNA from 1 species
CUACGGGGCGCUGCAGUGGGGAAUAUUGGGCAAUGGGCGAAAGCCUGACCCAGCAACGCCGCGUGAUUGAAGAAGGUCUUCGGAUUGUAAAAAUCUGUCCUUGGGGACGAAAAAAAUGACGGUACCCAAGGAGGAAGCCCCGGCUAACUACGUGCCAGCAGCCGCGGUAAUACGUAGGGGGCGAGCGUUGUCCGGAAUUACUGGGCGUAAAGGGUGCGCAGGCGGCGCUUUAAGUCAGAUGUGAAAUACCCAGGCUUAACCUGGGGGGUGCAUUUGAAACUGGAGGGCUUGAGUGCAGGAGAGGAAAGUGGAAUUCCUAGUGUAGCGGUGAAAUGCGUAGAUAUUAGGAGGAACACCAGUGGCGAAGGCGACUUUCUGGACUGUAACUGACGCUGAGGCACGAAAGCGUGGGGAGCAAACAGGAUUAGAUACCCCAGUAGUC